rnacentral:lncRNA from 1 species
AUGCGGAGAGGCUCACGCUCCCGCCUCCUCUCGCUGGAGGAAGCCUGUUUCCCCCAAACAACAACAACAACAACAAAUGCCUUUGAAUGGAAAUUCUGAAAUUGUAAAUGUCUAUUUUAAUACUCAACUAUGAAAGAAUUUGUGAAUAUAUGUAAAUAUGUUUAAUAAAUUUUUUUGGUCAUGUUAAAUCAUUGUAAACUUUUUUACAUUGCUUAAAUUUAAUCUUUUAAGCUUAAUAUCCUUUGCACUUCUAAAAUAAAAAUGGAAUACUGAAGUCAAGUGAGAUACUUGGUCGUCAGAAGAAGAAAAAGUCUAGGGAUAUUCCAGUCCCUGAAAUAGUCAUGACAUUUUUAUUAAUAUAUUUUCUUUUUUCCUUGUAUCAAAAUGCAAAAUGUAUAAUUUGCAAAAUUUUGUAAUUGAAAUAAGAUUUGGUAUGCUUUUAUAGUAAAAUAAUGAGCAAUACAUUUAGAACACUUUCUCCCAUGAUCUGACAUAGAUUAGAUAUUCAGGAAAACUGGGGGCAUAAACCUAACUGAACUUGUGAAACAUUUGGGAUGGAAAAUUAGGUCUAAAAUCAUCAUAGGCAAACCUGCCACAAUGUGGAAUUGAAUUGGGAGACAAUUCAAUUAUACUGGAUAAUUCCAGUUUUGAUAAGGAACGGUGAAAAGAAUAUAUGAAUAUAUGUUAAAUACUUUAAAUUCAGCUCACAAGUGGGAGGUUCCAGCUAGU